rnacentral:lncRNA from 1 species
GCAGAAACUGGGAAGAUGAGUAGGAGUUAAGCAGGUGAAGUUGUGCCGCAGUCUGGCUGGGCACAAAAUCACGAGCCACUCACAGCCUUGUAGAUUCAAACAGCAAUUCUUUAUUCCUGAACUCACACCGGCACUCUACAAACACGUUCUAGGCCAAUCCACACCUCCACUGGGCUCUGUAUCCCAAAAUACUCUCUGAAUCCUGCGAGAACUCAACGGGAACUCAAGGAGCGGGCGUGCCUGAGGCAGAAGGAUACUCCCUAUUCCCAGCAGGAUACACCCUAAACCUGGAUCCGCCCUGGUCCUUGAGCAAGGUCACCUUUCAUGCAAAGUCACUGCAAAUGAUCUGGGUCCACAAUGGAGAGUCCUUCCUCUAAGCAACAUGGGGUAGGCUGAUGAAGAAAUUGCCAUGCGUCAUUCCUACUUGGCAAUGGCUCUCAGCAAAGUUGGAGGUGAGUGGUGAAGAAAGUGGUCCAGGCAGGAGAAGCUGCAUCACACACUUUUGGAGACCUUCCUGUGUAUUAUGUUUCAAGCCAAAUCACUUCUGUGAUAUUGGAUUCCCAGCCUGCCAUAGAGUAUCAUAUGGGGAUAGGGAAGAGGUUUGUGGUGUGGAAGAGGAGGCAUUUGAGGUGCGUGCCACAGGGUGGGCAAGCUGCCUAUCCAUCUGACAAUGAGGAAGAGGCACAUACUCUUCUGGAUGUUCAUAUCUGUUCUGAUUCUUAUCUGUUGGAUGCCCUUAGGCAGAUUAUGUUUUAUCUAAAGUUGAUAAAGUAUGAAAUUCAAGGGUAAAAGUUUUAUAGUUAAGAUGAUUCUUAUCUGUUCUGAUUCUUAUCUGUUGGCUGACCUUAGGCAGAUUAUGUAUCAUCUAAAGUUGAUAAAGUAUGAAGUUCAAGGGUAAAAGGGAAAAAAAAGAGCCAGAGUGAGACAAACAAGGUGAGUGCAUGCAUGAUCUUGAAAACCACCUGCAGCAAACUAAAUUUUGUCAACAACCAUGGGGGAAACCAAUGGUAUGCCAACAGGGAUGUGGUGUGAUGUUAGCAGAGUCCCAGGUGAGAGGUCAUAUAAAGGUAACAGCCAUAAUAAUCUUGGUGGUCCCUGACUGACUGGAAGGAAAUUUUUCCUCAUGGUGGAGGUGAGUGGAGACAACAGAGCCAUCUUAGAGUCCAGGUUUACAAUAUUAGGUAGUUUUGAGAUCAUCCAAGAACAGUAACUGUUCUAGGAAUUUUUCCAAGGACAAAAGGCAAAUAGAGCUUCAGGCACAAAGAUAUUUAUCAAAACAUUAUUUACCUACACAUAUUCAAAUUUUGGAAAAAGAAGAGGAGGAUUAAAUCAAUUAUAUUAUACCCCUAAGUGAAAUAUCAAGGAGCCAUUGAUAUAAAGUCACAGGGAUUCUUUUAAAGACAAGAGAAGAUGUUUAUGUCGCAAGUGAAAAAGGCAAGUUCUUACUUAUAACAAGAGCUUUUAUGCUUGUGUGUAUAUAUGUGAAUUACACUCUAAUUCUUAUUUCCCUUUUUUAAUAUUUGUAAUUUUGACAAUGAACAUACAUUUCUUUUAUCAUUGAAAAUGUUAUUUGUAAUGCAAAAUAUUUUGAUGACAGUGACCAGCCAUGAACCCUUCCACAAUCACUCAGAGAGUUUCAGAUUUCAUUCAUGGAUUGAAGAGGGGUUAUUCAAUAAAUAU